rnacentral:rRNA from 1 species
AACGAACGCUGGCGGCAUGCCUAACACAUGCAAGUCGAACGAGACCUUCGGGUCUAGUGGCGCACGGGUGCGUAACGCGUGGGAACCUGCCCUUAGGUUCGGAAUAACUCCCCGAAAGGGGUGCUAAUACCGGAUAAUGUCUUCGGACCAAAGGUUUAUCGCCUUUGGAUGGGCCUGCGUUGGAUUAGCUAGUUGGUAGGGUAAAAGCCUACCACGGCGACGAUCCAUAGCUGGUCUGAGAGGAUGAUCAGCCACACUGGGACUGAGACACGGCCCAGACUCCUACGGGAGGCAGCAGUGGGGAAUAUUGGACAAUGGGCGAAAGCCUGAUCCAGCAAUGCCGCGUGAGUGAUGAAGGCCUGAGGGUUGUAAAGCUCUUUUACCCGGGAUGAUAAUGACAGUACCGGGAGAAUAAGCUCCGGCUAACUCCGUG